UAGGAAAGAGUUAAAGACAGCAGAGGGCGAGUGCUGUGCUAUUGUUCAGGCACUGCUCUGCAUCCAGGGCUGCUGCUCUCUAUUCCCGGAUCUGCCUCUGGCUUCCUGCACGACCUUGGGCUGCUCACCCACCUUCACUUUGCUUUAGUUCUCGAAUUGCAACAUGGAAAUCUUUCUCUUCCUGUAGUGCCACACGCCUUGCUGGCUUUAGGGAGGCUGAGUUCUCAGGUGGGAGGAGAGGGGAAGAAGAGGACACAUUUCCACUGGAGAAAUAACUACGCAGAGCACAGUAAUUUCUGAACGCUCUCUUGUUCACUCGGGCACAGCAGAGUGCAUGGUGCUACUUGUUUUCAAGCAGGCCAAAGUCACAUUCCAUUUGGCGUUGAGCAGAGCAGUGUCAGUUGCAGUGCUCCCUUUUCUCACUAGAUGGUGCUUUUGAUCAAAGGUACGAAUAACUGCAGCGCUCCGCACAGAAUUGCUCUAUUUCUGUUCCCUGUCUCCAUUCCUCCCUCUGCUCUUUCUGUGCUGUAACACUACGGGGGACACUUAACGAUGCUGGAUGUUGGGUGAGGCUCAUCUGGCAGUGCUGCUCCCAGCUCCCACCAGCCAGCUGUGGCUGGGCUUGGGCUCUUGACGCACGGAUCGGUGCUGCCGGGCUGUGGCAGAGAAUUGAAUUCUUUCCGUGUUUUCUAUUCCCAUAAGGAAAAGGCUUCAAAGAGCAGGUCCCCUCCCCCUCUCUGCUGGUGAAGGGCAUUUAGGGAAGCUGGGGGAAAAAAAAAAUCCAGCUCUGACAGAUGCAUUUAUUUAACAAACCACAGCCUUUCCUUACCUUAGCAGCACAUUGGUUGGUUUUGGUUUUUUGUUUGUUUGGGUUUUUUUAAAGAAGGAAUUGCUGUUUUUAUAUCUAUUUUGUAUUCAGUAGAUAGUUACCUAGCCAAGGUCAUUGCUGCUGCAUGCCAGCGCCACGCAGCCAGCCAGCUCCUCUGCCCUGAAUGAGCACCGCCAGGCUUCCACAGGUAAAGAACGGGAGUGAAUCUGCCCACGCCAGGUCCCACGCUGCUGCAGGGAGCCACGCGCCCUCCAUGGUCUAAAAGGCAGCAAAGGAGGUGAAUGGAAUUGUAAUCAAACACUUCCUGCGCAGACAUGCACAGGGCUCUGUUAGGAGCAGUGAGAGGCACAGCGGGGCGCAUGGUGCUGCGUGUCAUCACACUGUGCUGCUGGAGCUCCCCCCGGCCCCCCCCCCUCCUGCAGCUGCCUUGGGUCGCUGUGCUCAGUGCUCCCUGCAGUGCCGGUGCCCGGCUGAGCCGCACGCUGCAGACCUGCGCCCCGCUCCCAUCGGGUUGCAUCACGCCCAGCUCCCUCCCCGUGGAAUUUUACAACUGUUAAUGAAUGGGGUUGGAGCACCGCUGUGCCGCCGGGCGGCUGUUUGUGGAUUUAUGGUCGGAGAUUGUGCUCCUGCCUCUGGCACUGCACCGGUGACAGCAGUGCUGUGUGUGUGCCAGCAAGCCUGCAAGGCCAGAGCCUGCAGCAGCCCUGUGCUCACGUGCUGCGUGUUGUUCUUACGGUGGUGACGUCCCUGCAGCAGGGACACAAGCUAUGCAUGAGAGGAGCGUGACACAAAACCGCUCUCGGGACCAGGAGCUGACAGUGAUUUCUCUGUCAUUCCCCUGUUGUCAUCUUCCCCACUGCACGUACAUUUGUUCAUCGUUAGUAAGGUACUGUUGAUGACUAAAGCCUGGGUCUGUAUCGCAGUCUGCUUGAAGGAGCAAUCGAGGACUGCAGGGCUCAGCUCAUGAGGAGUGGGGCAGUGCACUUCCUCACGUCUAUGGGAUGUGAAGAGUCCUUCCUGACUGACAGCGAAUUGCAUCACUGCUUGUACAGAUAUUUUUCUCUGCAAUGUGCUUGUUGUGUUGUUUUCCUCCAGUGAAAUUUGCCAGCACGUCCCAAAUUGUGUGGUUCUGGAAUGGAGAAGCAACAUACCUGUGCGGGGGAGAGAAUGAGUGCUUUUUGCUUCUUUCAAUCUGGCUCUUCCCUCCCUUCUCCCCACAUCCCCAUGUGUUACAAAGCCAGCUGCUCCCAGAAUAGGUUGGGAAUGAAAUGUCACCGUUUGAAACUGGUGAGUCACACUUUUUGAAGCUUGGGGGGGGGGAGGGAAUCUGAAAUCCUGCGGUGUGGCAGAGCGUCUCCUGGUGAGCACAGAGGGAUUUUGAAAACCACGGGCUCCCUGAUGGUGGAGUCGAGGGGUUUUGCAUGCAGGCUGCUGGGUGUGUCUGGGCUGCUUUCUGCAGGAGGAUGGCAAAACCCGCUGCAAACUUCAGCUGUCUGCUGGGACAUACCUGCUGCAGCCACAUCCCAGCGCCUUCCCGACAGGACUGGGUCGUAUCUGACAGCGAACCUACAGUGACUCUCUUAAUUAAGUCUCCCUGCACUGCUGUGAGGCUUUUCUUAUGGAUGGUCAAAAGCGUUGGGUGGUUUCAUUUUGUUUGGAAAGGUGUGACAGAUGUGAGAAGUUUAAGGCUUAUUGACGCUACAGUUGGAAGAAUUUCACUGUCAGAAGGUGUUUAGUCCCAAAUCCACAUCCAGAACUACAGGUGAGACGUGGAAAAAGACUGACUCUUUGCAGUCAGUUUCCCAUGAACUCCUAAGUCAAAAGAGCAUGGAGGGCAAGAGUGUGCCAGUAUCCCUGUAGCCUUACAGCUGUGAAAGGCUGCACUGAAGCUCUGCCAUUCUCUGCUGCUGGAGUUGCUGAACCUGAGCAGAAGUUCCAGAUGGCUUCCAAAGGAUUCAGCUUCUGAGCAGGUUCCAUCUCUGUUACCCUGCUUUGGGAAACUGCCUUUAAUGGGUCUGUGUUUAAAGCAAACAUCAUCUCCUUGUGCUUGGUCUUCUUUUGGGCUCUAUGUAAUCGUUUGAAACCCAGAUAAAACUCUGCAGGCACACAAGCGAAGCCAGCACUCCUCCUGCCAUAAAACCACAACUGCCUCUAUUGCCAGUGCUUCCCCUGCUGCCUUCCACUUUAACCCUGCAGCACUGCUCUCCUUGUGUUCUUGCUCUCCCCAGAGCCACACUGCUCUGUGUUUAGUGGCAGGCGAUGAAACCAUGCAUUAGCAGCUCCAUAAUAGCUUUGCUCAGUGGAACCCAGCUUCCUUCACUAAUCCAGAAAAUGAGAGUUGUUUUUGUACAUCUGAGAAGCUAAUUAUUUAAGUGCUGAGAAUUAAGGCUCAUCAGGUAGUGGAGACUGAUUUUGGUUUUGUUUCCCAGGGGAAGAAGAAGAUGGAAGGAAGCUGCUCUCACACAGGUGUGCAGCAUGGUAGCUCCCCAGUACUUGGGGUGGGGAGCAGCAGUGUGCAAGUCCCUUUCUAGAGCCUCUCUUCGUACGUUUCCUCUCUCUCAGACAUCAUCUGAUGGUUUUCCCCAUUUGAAUAGACUUUGAAAGUAUCUUCUGGUCAAAUAACGUGAUAGCUUUAUUUUUAUGGCCAUAACAAAGAUGGACCCCGUUUGUGGCUGACCCGGCCUGGAUAUUUUGCAAUAAAACCCUUGUCUCAGGGUUUUUAGAGAGGGAAAGUAGCUCACAUCAGUUGUCCUCCUGUGAUCAGUUAUCUUUCAGCCUUACCUUUGAUCACAAAAGCUGAGUGGGAUUUAGAUGGAAUGGCUGCUAUCUAACCUAGGAAUGGACCUUGCAGUGGCUUGGAAAACAGGAGAUGAGUGGGGUGAAAACCCCCCUGUGUCUGUGGGGAAACCACAGAUGAGGGCUGAUAUGAUAAACAAAGGUUUUACAGCACAGUGACUUUUACAAGUGAAUGGGUGCUUGGGGCAUUCUUCCUGGAAGGUGAGAGCUACUGCCAAUAGCUGUAUGGUACAGAACUGAGACAUGGUUCUGGUGGUUGCACUGGAUGGACCCCUCCUUGUUAAAAGCAGCUUGCCAGGAAUAAAUGUCUUGUUUUUUAAUGAGAUCGCCAAUGCUGUGUUGUCUUCAGAGACUGAGGAAGUGCACUUUUCUGUGUGUUUGGUUGAAGUCAGAUGUUACAGGAUUGUCUGGACGUAGCUGACUUGACAAAUAGCAGGGGUGACAUUUUAGCUCCAUGUAAGUCAGUGGCAAAAUUCCUGUUGAACUCCACUGGGGCCAAGAUUUCAUCCCAUGAUGGUGCCAAAGGGAAAUCUAAGAAAUGAUCCUCAGAAAAAUAAGUGCAGGCAUUCUGUUUUUCUAGGACUGUUUUUUUUACCUAAGGGGCAUGAAUCCUUGGAAUUCCAUGCACUGCUUUGGAGAGAUCUGCAAAAGAUCACGAAGACAAGCAAGUGUAUUGUCAAUAGGUUUAAAUUAGAAAUACAGGGGCCUGUGAUUCCAAGGGAAAACUUUCAGGAGUCGAUUAUGAAAUGUUAAGUCAGCUCAGCCCACUGAAAUCCACCUUUCUUUGUGCUCCAUGGACUGACAAGCAUCCUUCUGGCCAGACCCGUGCAGCUGGACUGGCUGCCACUGAGUGUUGUGGAUUGAAGCAGCUGCUCCACCCCCUCUGCUCAGAUGUAGGCAGGGGGAAGCCUCUAAUGUGGCAGAUGCUUUUACCAAUGGACUGGACCGAAAACAAAAUCUUUGUUUUAGAGAGGGUGGUGGAGCUGGGACCAUAUAAAUCUGUUUUGCUGCGAGGUCAGUGAUUGAUUAAUGCUGGAAGUGCCACCUUGGGAUGGCAAGGAUUGAGGAUACAGCCGCUUUUCUUCCCCAUGUGGAGGCACACUGCAUCUUCCCAGCUGAGCUAUCGUGUAACACAGAUGACUCUCUGGAGGAAGACUUAGCUGCACGUUUGCAGUAUGUUUUAGCUACUAUCAACAUUUAUAUUCCAUUGUCAUUUGGGGGUAAGCACUAGUUAGCAUAAUCAUCAGUGCUUUAAAAUUAAAAAUUCCUCCAAGAGAUGCAGGAGGGAUUGAAAUGGUUUUCUGCCCCCAGAGGCAAAUCCUUUCCCAAGCUAUCUGCUGCACCAAAAGGUUUUAUUCUAGAAACAUUCCCAAGCCGUGCCCAAGAGUAAAUUAAACUACAGCAAACUUAUAAACUCUCGUGUGUGUAUGUAGCAAGCAGGCCCUGAUUUAGCAAAUUACUACAUGACUAAAUGUAACUAUUUUCUGUUCCUAUUUUGGAACUGAUGUGCUUUGUUGCCGUGCCACCUUCACUGUAUGGGCUGCCACAAUCAGGAGGUAUUUGUAGAGUAUGAAAUUUUAAUUCUUCACAGGAAAGAUUCUGGUGUCUUCACCAGAUGGAAAGCAAAGGGCUUGAUGACACUGAUACCUUCUGGAGCUUGGCUCCCCUGGUAAGGAAUUGGCUUCAGAAAAUAUUAAGAGCCAUUCUUUUUCUGUGUAAUUUUAGAAUGGAUUUCUGCUUUGGUACCAAAGCGAUUCGCUGUCAGAGUGAAACUGAAAUGAGAUUUCUGGCUCAAAAAGCUCCUUCCCUUUCUGGAGAACAAGAUGCCAGAAAAACUAUGGGGGGACCUUGAAGUUUGAAAGGCAUCGUCUGUUAUCUGUGGAAAUGUGCCUAGGAGUCAAUCUUAAAAUUUCAACGUUCAUCCUUUGGGAUGUGAUGGAGAACCUCAGAUGACAGUAGUUGUGGUUAAGGAUGGAUUUUGUGCUUGUGGGUUAUCUUUGAGAAUGCUUCACCAAUCCCAGCAGCUCCUCGGGGUGGGCCAUGGAACUUCAGGAAGCAGGAAUGGUUGACUGUUGUAAUUGUUUCUGAUCUGUCCAGAGAGAAAAAAUGGUAUGUUCCAAAGGAAGUAUUUAUUUGUGAGUAGAACAAAUUGCAGGUGUUCUCCCUUCUUAAAAUGAAAGAAUUAUGCUUUAUAAAGAUGUGAUUAUUUUUAUUUCUGAAUAACACAAACGCUGCUGCACCUUACAUAGAGUAAACAUGAUGACUUUGCAAGAAAGAGCUGCAAAGAAAUCUCAGCGAAAACUUUGGUAUCUGCAAAGCUUUGAACACAUCCAUUAUCUUUUUGAUAUCCUGUUUCUUCGGAGAGAUGGACUUAAAUUUCACAGACAGAAUUUCUCUCUUUUAUCUUUAUCUCCUGUUUUGAUGUGCUAGCCAUGGAGAAAAGCCCAAGAUCAGUAAUAGCAAGUUCUUGCAGAAUAAGAAUAACCCUCUACUUGGGUUUAGGCUGUAGUAACAUUGGGGGUUUUGUUUAAUUGGAAGAUACUCAGAUUCAUUAGAAUAAAUACUGUGUGCUGUUAAGAUGUUAAUUACCUCUCCCAUUCAUUUAGAUACAGCUUGCUGUAAGAUUAUCUUCCCUCUGCGCUGAGGGAUGUUUGGGUGGCUCUACAAGGUAGGGGGUGGGUUUCUGUGCCUAUUUCUUUUGACACAAUGG